UACGUAGGGUGCGAGCGUUGUCCGGAAUUAUUGGGCGUAAAGGGCUCGUAGGCGGUUUGUCACGUCGGGAGUGAAAACUCAGGGCUUAACCCUGAGCCUGCUUCCGAUACGGGCAGACUAGAGGUAUGCAGGGGAGAACGGAAUUCCUGGUGUAGCGGUGAAAUGCGCAGAUAUCAGGAGGAACACCGGUGGCGAAGGCGGGUCUCUGGGCCGUAACUGACGCUGAGGAGCGAAAGCAUGGGGAGCGAACAGG
rnacentral:rRNA from 1 species